rnacentral:rRNA from 1 species
AGAGCACACGGAGGAUGCCUAGGCACCAGGAGCCGACGAAGGACGUGGCGAACAACGAAAUGCCUCGGGGAGCUGUAAGCAAGCAUCGAUCCGGGGAUGUCCGAAUGGGGAAACCCGGCUGUCGUAAUAGGCAGUCACUCACAUCUGAAUACAUAGGGUGUGAUGAGGCAUACGAGGGGAACUGAAACAUCUAAGUACCCUCAGGAAGAGAAAACAAUAGUGAUUCCGUCAGUAGCGGCGAGCGAACGCGGAAUAGCCUAAACCGAAGAGCUUGCUCUUCGGGGUUGUGGGACGUCUCACUAGGAGUAAGAAAGGUGUUUAUUAGAUGAAGAGGUCUGGAAAGGCCCGCCAUAGAAGGUAACAGCCCUGUAUUCGAAAGUGAAUGCCCUCCGAGACGGAUCCCCGAGUACCGCGGGACACGUGAAACCCCGUGGGAAUCUGGCAGGACCAUCUGCUAAGGCUAAAUACUCCCUGGUGACCGAUAGUGAAGCAGUACCGUGAGGGAAAGGUGAAAAGCACCCCGGAAGGGGAGUGAAAUAGAACCUGAAACCGUGUGCUUACAAGAAGUCAGAGCCCGUUAAAUGGGUGAUGGCGUGCCUUUUGUAGAAUGAACCGGCGAGUUACGUUUACGUGCAAGGUUAAGGUGAAGAGCCGCAGCCGCAGCGAAAGCGAGUCUGAAUAGGGCGAGUGAGUACGUAGUCGUAGACCCGAAACCGUGUGAUCUACCCCUGUCCAGGGUGAAGGUGCGGUAACACGCACUGGAGGCCCGAACCCACGUACGUUGAAAAGUGCGGGGAUGAGGUGGGGGUAGCGGAGAAAUUCCAAUCGAACUCGGAGAUAGCUGGUUCUCCCCGAAAUAGCUUUAGGGCUAGCCUCGGAGUCAAGAGUCGUGGAGGUAGAGCACUGAUUGGAUGCGGGGCCCGCCAAGGGUUACCAAGUUCAGUCAAACUCCGAAUGCCAUCGACUUAUAUCCGGGAGUCAGACAGUGGGUGCUAAGGUCCAUUGUCAAGAGGGAAACAGCCCAGACCAUCAGCUAAGGCCCCUAAGUAUACGUUAAGUGGGAAAGGAUGUGGAGUUGCACAGACAACCAGGAUGUUGGCUUAGAAGCAGCCAUCAUUUAAAGAGUGCGUAAUAGCUCACUGGUCGAGUGACUCUGCGCCGAAAAUGUAACGGGGCUAAACGUAUCGCCGAAGCUAUGGCUUGCAUCGUAAGAUGCAUGGGUAGGGGAGCGUUGUGUAUCGGGUUGAAGGUAGACCGGAAGGACUGCUGGACUAUACACAAGUGAGAAUGCCGGUAUGAGUAACGAAAAGACAUGUGAGAAUCAUGUCCGCCGAAAGCCUAAGGGUUCCUGGGGAAGGCUCGUCCGCCCAGGGUAAGUCGGGACCUAAGGCGAGGCCGAAAGGCGUAGUCGAAGGACAACAGGUUGAAAUUCCUGUACCACCGUAAGCCGUUAUGAGCAAUGGGGGGACGCAGAAGGAUAGGGACGCGAGCUGAUGGAUGCUCGUCCAAGCAGUGAGGCCGGUCAGUAGGCAAAUCCGCUGACCAUGAGGCUGGGCUGUGAUGGGGAGGGAAAUUUAUAGUACCGAAGGUCUUGAUUUCAUGCUGCCAAGAAAAGCCUCUAGCCAGGAUGAAGGUGCCCGUACCGCAAACCGACACAGGUAGGCGAGAAGAGAAUUCUAAGGCGCGCGGAAGAACUCUCGUUAAGGAACUCGGCAAAAUGACCCCGUAACUUCGGGAGAAGGGGUGCCUCGGUAGGGUGAAUAGCCCGAGGGGGCCGCAGUGAAAAGGCCCAAGCGACUGUUUAGCAAAAACACAGGUCUGUGCGAAGCCGCAAGGCGAAGUAUACGGGCUGACGCCUGCCCGGUGCUGGAAGGUUAAGGGGAGUGGUUAGCCGCAAGGCGAAGCUAUGAACCGAAGCCCCAGUAAACGGCGGCCGUAACUAUAACGGUCCUAAGGUAGCGAAAUUCCUUGUCAGGUAAAUUCUGACCCGCACGAAUGGCGUAACGACUUGGGCGCUGUCUCAACGAGAGAUCCGGUGAAAUUUUAAUACCUGUGAAGAUGCAGGUUACCCGCGACAAGACGGAAAGACCCCAUGGAGCUUUACUGCAGCUUGAUAUUGAACUUUGGUACGGUCUGUACAGGAUAGGUGGGAGCCUGCGAAGCCGGUGCGCCAGCAUCGGUGGAGGCAUCGUUGGGAUACCACCCUGAUCGUAUCGGAGUUCUAACCUAGGACCGUGAUCCGGUUCGGGGACAGUGUCAGGUGGGCAGUUUGACUGGGGCGGUCGCCUCCUAAAGAGUAACGGAGGCGCCCCAAGGUUCCCUCAGAAUGGUUGGAAAUCAUUCGAAGAGUGCAAAGGCAGAAGGGAGCUUGACUGCGAGACCUACAAGUCGAGCAGGGACGAAAGUCGGGCUUAGUGAUCCGGUGGUACCGCAUGGAAGGGCCAUCGCUCAACGGAUAAAAGCUACCCUGGGGAUAACAGGCUUAUCUCCCCCAAGAGUCCACAUCGACGGGGAGGUUUGGCACCUCGAUGUCGGCUCAUCGCAUCCUGGGGCUGAAGUAGGUCCCAAGGGUUGGGCUGUUCGCCCAUUAAAGCGGUACGCGAGCUGGGUUCAGAACGUCGUGAGACAGUUCGGUCCCUAUCUGUCGCGGGCGUAGGAAAUUUGAGAGGAGCUGUCCUUAGUACGAGAGGACCGGGAUGGACGUACCGCUGGUGUACCAGUUGUCUCGCCAGAGGCAUGGCUGGGUAGCUACGUACGGAAGGGAUAAGCGCUGAAAGCAUCUAAGCGUGAAGCCCCCCUCAAGAUGAGAUUUCCCAAUUUAGUAAGACCCCUUGA